rnacentral:rRNA from 1 species
GACGAACGCUGGCGGCGUGCUUAACACAUGCAAGUCAAGGAGAAAGUUUGCUUCGGUGAACGAGUACACUGGCGCACGGGUGAGUAAUAUGUAAGCAACCUACCCUUGAGAAUGGGAUAACGUCGGGAAACUGGCGCUAAUACCGUAUAAUGCAGCGGAACCACAUGGUUAUGUUGUUAAAGGUGCUUCGGUACCACUUAAGGAUGGGCUUGCAUCCGAUUAGCUAGUUGGUAAGGUAAAGGCUUACCAAGGCAACGAUCGGUAGCUGGUCUGAGAGGAUGAUCAGCCACACUGGAACUGAGACACGGUCCAG